rnacentral:sRNA from 1 species
CCCUCUCUGCCUCUCCCCCCGAAGUUUGAAGACAAAAUCAUAGACAUCUGCCUGAAGCUGCUAGACAAGAGCCUGCACUUCCAGACUGACCCAGCCACAGACUGUGCUCUGCGGGGAAGCCCCGUCUACGUCAGCAGAGUGGUGUGUGCCAUGAUCAACAGCAAUGAUGAUAAUGGGGUGCUCAAUGGAAAAUGGAGUGAGAAUUACACAGAUGGCGCCAACCCUGCGGAGUGGACGGGCAGUGUGGCCAUCCUGAAGCAGUGGAACGCCACAGGCUGCCAGCCCGUGCGCUACGGGCAAUGCUGGGUCUUUGCUGCCGUCAUGUGCACAGUGAUGAGGUGUCUGGGGAUCCCUACCCGUGUGAUCACCAACUUCGACUCUGGCCACGAUACAGAUGGAAACCUGAUCAUAGAUGAGUAUUACGACAACACAGGCAGGAUUUUGGGGAAUAAGAAGAAGGAUACUAUCUGGAACUUCCAUGUCUGGAAUGAGUGCUGGAUGGCCCGGAAGGAUCUGCCCCCUGGA